GGCAGUUCUCGGGUGACGCACCCCAUAAUUGGGCUCCCUCCUCUCUGGUUCCGGCGUGUCACCUGAGAACCACC
rfam:Myotis davidii contig150046, whole genome shotgun sequence.